GGUUAAAUAUAAGUACACAUUAAGGCGAAUAAUCCACAUGAGAGAGGGGGUACUUUUAACAUGGAAACCAGCUCAAGGGGUAUACUGGUCAAAAAAGGUUGGGAACCACUGCUCUAGAUUGUUUAUUAUGAUUUAAUGAAGUGUUCCUAUGUGACGCUGAUGGGCCCUGGUUGCUGCUAAAUGCUUGUUGAAAGUGCAUUGUGCACUUUUUGUAUGUAGCUACAAAAUGAGGGUGGAUAUCACUUUAUAGUUUAUAGGCAUUAUAUACUAAUAAGAAUCAUUGACAAAUCACAUUCCCCUUUUACCACCACAGGACGCACCUCACCAGUAUCAGAGCAACAGCUGUGGGGUGUUUAUGCUGAUGUACGCAAUGUAUUCUACCCUCAAAAGCAAUAUGAUUUCAGUGAGGGGGACAUGCUCUCUAUCAGGAGGUGGUGGUGUGGACAGCUGUUGGAGACCUUUAUGCUUGAAAGCCCUGCAGAACUAGCUGGCUCCUUCUCACACUCUCCAUCUCCCCAUCUCAGUCACACCUUCCAAUCACUAAGCAGUGAAAGCCCUGCAGGACUAGCUGGCACACCAAGCUCACCCUCUCCAUCUCCCCAUCUCAGUCACACGCUCCAAUCUGGCAAAACAGAGGACAGGCCAUUCUUACCACCCGAAGUCCUUCAGCAAUUUGUACAAGAGACGCUGAGACUGGACAUGGCGAUGCUUGGCGUGUUCAACAGGGUUUCAAACACAUUCCGAGAACUAAUCAAGCCUCUCCAUCCUUCCAUAUAUAUAAAUGACAGUUUGGCAGGGGACAUUAAGCUUAAUAAAGACAAUCUCAUAUACAUAACGGUUAGAAAGAUUUACAACAAUGCAGGCUGUGGCAGUGGCCUUGCGCUACGCCUCAAAGGCUUCUCAAAAAAGAAGAAUUGGCCAAGCGCACCUCUGGUACUGAGGCACGUUGCAUAUGGCAGGUUUGUCAUAAAAGAUGUCUGCCUAGCAUAAUGUUCUUUUAUUACUCCUUUUUCGUUUUAUAUGGGACGUCAUUUUUUGCAAUCCCUUUCAUUUGUAAAUGUACAUACUACUGUAGUAAAUGUAUCUGCCCAGAAA